rnacentral:lncRNA from 1 species
CCGGCCACACAGCCUGUGUUUACCCUCUUCCUUGCCUGUCUCCGCAGGGGUGCGCGGGCCCCUCUCUGGCCGGGAAGGCUCUGACAGUUCGCCCCUUCCGGACCCGAGGACACUCACCCAAGAAUCGCUUCCCAGCCCCGCCACAUUGCCAAAGGCAGGGUUCCGGGGCCUCCUUCCCUUCCUCCUGCCCCCUUCCGUCCCUCCCUUUCCUCUUUAGACACUAAUGGACUGGAGCUGUCCACUGGACUGCAGACCCCUCGAGAUCAAAGGGAAAUCCCAGCAUCCCAAUCUCCCCCAAAGAGCUGCUCCUGGACAGAGACAUCCACAGACAUUUCCACCACUUGGACUUCAACUGCUGGAUCCUUCCCACCUGUCAUGUGGAUGUCCCUCUUCCGAGGAAUCCCCUGAGCCUUGAGGGACAUAGAGCCACCCCCCUCAGCACCUGAGCGGGUGCUGAGCCUUCUGUCUCAGCUCCACAGGCUGCUGGCCGGUGUAGGGGUGUCUGUUCUCCCAUUGCCCAGCUUCACACCUGACACCAGUGGUACUCAAUAAAUAUUGGGAAUGGAGUGAGUAUGAGACUGUA